CCUACGGGUGGCUGCAGUCGAGAAUCAUUCACAAUGGGGGAAACCCUGAUGGUGCGACGCCGCGUGGGGGAAUGAAGGUCUUCGGAUUGUAACCCCCUGUCAUGUGGGAGCAAAUUAAAAAGAUAGUACCACAAGAGGAAGAGACGGCUAACUCUGGGCCAGCAGCCGCGGUAAUACAGAGGUCUCAAGCGUUGUUCGGAAUCACUGGGCGUAAGGCGUGCGUAGGCGGUUUCGUAAGUCGUGUGUGAAAGGCGCGGGCUCAACCCGCGGACGGCACAUGAUACUGCGAGACUAGAGUAAUGGAGGGGGAAACGGAAUUCUCGGUGUAGCAGUGAAAUGCGUAGAUAGCGAGAGGAACACUCGUGGCGAAGGCGGGUUCCUGGACAUUAACUGACGCUGAGGCACGAAGGCCAGGGGAGCGAAAGGGAUUAGAUACCCUGGUAGUC
rnacentral:rRNA from 1 species